AUGGGCGCAAGCCUGAUGCAGCCAUGCCGCGUGUGUGAAGAAGGCCUUCGGGUUGUAAAGCACUUUCAGCGGGGAGGAAGGCGGUGAGGUUAAUAACCUCAUCGAUUGACGUUACCCGCAGAAGAAGCACCGGCUAACUCCGUGCCAGCAGCCGCGGUAAUACGGAGGGUGCAAGCGUUAAUCGGAAUUACUGGGCGUAAA
rnacentral:rRNA from 1 species